AUACAAUAGUCCUAAUGGUGAUUUAAUAAUUAUCAUCAUAACUUUUUGGUAUAACAGUUAUGAGAAUAUAAAAUUAUAUGCAAACAGUAAAUAUUUUUUUAAUGUCAAACUUAACUGAUAAUAAAUUUUAUAUAAAAUAAUUUUUUUUUAUCAUUCAAUUGUAUAAAAACAAGCAGUUCCAGAAGGAAUUUAAAUGACCGAUUUGGAAAGUAGGCAAUUUUUUUAUUUAGGAUUUGGAAUUCACUAGCUUUUUGUAUCUAAUUUAACAUUGAUUUAACUAUCAUAGAUGUCAUGAUGACAUCAUCUGUUGUUACAUCAGGAUGACUUCAUGUCAGUACAUAUUAUGUCAUUGUGAUAUCCCAGUUAAAUUAAAAAACUCAGGACUGGGGUAUUCGGUUGAUUGGUUAUUGGUCAGUGUUCUUGUAUAUCAUAUUAGUGUACAUAUCUUGUAUAGAACCAAUUUCGGAAUAGUCCAUCUCUGUGAUGAUGCACUGUUGCUUCUUUCUGCUAGAAUGAAAUGUAAUACCUUACAUUCUAGCAAAAAGGAGGAGCUUCUUUCUCCUCUGCAGUUGCCAUAAUCUUGACUGCUGAUUGAAACCAACAUUCUCACAACAGUUUCUUCAAACAGACAAAAAUAAAGAAAUCACAAGAAAGUAUCAAAUUGGGAAUAUGGCAGA
rnacentral:lncRNA from 1 species